ACAACGUCUCGGAGAGCGCUUCG
rnacentral:miRNA from 11 species